rnacentral:rRNA from 1 species
CUAGUAAUCGCGGAUCAGCACGCCGCGGUGAAUACGUUCCCGGGCCUUGUACACACCGCCCGUCACACCAUGGAAGUCUGCAAUGCCCGAAGCCGGUGGCCUAACCACUUAUGUGGAAGGAGCCGUCUAAGGCAGGGCAGAUGACUGGGGUGAAGUCGUAACAAGGUAAC